GUCAGGAUUGCCGAGCGGUCCAAGGCGCUGCGUUCAGGUCUUCUGGGCGAGGGUUCGAAUCCCUCUUCUGACA
rnacentral:tRNA from 1 species